rnacentral:lncRNA from 1 species
CUCCUUUCCCAUUCACAGAAGUCCUGAAUGCACUGUCAUCCAAGAGGAUGGCUUACAAUCAAAGACCUAAUCACAGUUUCUCUUAAUUUACUAAAAAUUUUUUUAAGUCUGCAUUGUUCCAGCAUGAUUUAGCACAACCCUUAAUCAUUGUUUAAUCAACAUAAUCAGUAAAUGUAGACACAGUUAUUUUGACAAGCCUAGAUUAAAAAUUACUCUUCCAGUCUUCGUUUAUGAUUACUCUAUCCCGUACAUUGUUACCCCUGAUUAUUCAUGCCCCCUUCAUUCUUAACUUUCAGUGAGGAGGAGGAGAGAGUACUAUCAGAGCUAAGACCUGGAGAAUAGACAUUACGAUCUUCACAAAUAUCACCCUUUCUUGGAAACCAGGAUCACCCCCGCAGAAAAACACCAUCCCAUUAUUUUAACACAGCAUAGCUUUUUCCCUGCUAAAAGGCAUUUGGUCUGUAGGAUGGUUUUGUUUUGUUUUGCUUUUAAUUGCAGCAUUUGCAGUCAGUGCCCAGCUUGCAAGUGGGUCUUCAAAUAGGCUCAGUGCCCAUCUCACCAACUGCCGCAUUCUCUCACGGCCGCCAAGAGAAGACUUUGCUGUUUCAGCAUUCCAGGUGAGAGGGUGGAAAACACAAAUUCCGGGAGCUUAUGGACCAGGCUUCUUCAUGGGAUCUCAGCAUGGACACAGCAAGCUUGACUCAGCGAUUCCAAGUGUCUGUAUUGCGUUACAUGAAGUCCCCCAUGGCUGGCAUCAACAGUACAUUGCCUGAGGAAGGAAGAAGCCAAGCUGUCCUGUGAUCCCUGAAGACUAAGCCAGCAAGAGAAGCACCGGUUAGUCACGGACGAGAGCACAGGGAUUAGAAGUUGUUCAGCCAGAUGUAUCAGGUGAC